GGAGGAAUGGCAGAGCGGUCGAAUGCGGCGGUCUUGAAAACCGUUGUACAGCAAUGUACCGGGGGUUCGAAUCCCUCUUCCUCCG
rnacentral:tRNA from 1 species